rnacentral:rRNA from 1 species
AUUGAACGCUGGCGGCAUGCUUUACACAUGCAAGUCGACCGGUAACAGGCCGCAAGGUGCUGACGAGUGGCGAACGGGUGAGUAAUGCAUCGGAACGUGCCCAGUCGUGGGGGAUAACGCAGCGAAAGCUGUGCUAAUACCGCAUACGAUCUAUGGAUGAAAGCGGGGGACCGUAAGGCCUCGAGCGAUUGGAGCGGCCGAUGUCAGAUUAGGUAGUUGGUGGGGUAAAGGCCUACCAAGCCAACGAUCUGUAGCUGGUCUGCGAGGACGACCAGCCACACUGGGACUGAGACACGGCCCAGACUCCUACGGGAGGCAGCAGUGGGGAAUUUUGGACAAUGGGCGCAAGCCUGAUCCAGCAAUGCCGCGUGCAGGAAGAAGGCCUUCGGGUUGUAAACUGCUUUUGUACGGAACGAAACGGUCUGGGUUAAUACCCUGGACUAAUGACGGUACCGUAAGAAUAAGCACCGGCUAACUACGUGCCAGCAGCCGCCGUAAUAC